ACGAGUUUACAAGUCGGUCGACCGUGCUGGCGGAGACGCAUGUGCACGUCGGUCGCAAAUCUCAUCCACACACCUGUGAACGUAUGGCCUCUGGGUACUCGCUGCCUGGGGGCAAACCUUUUUUCACCCACUCUGUUUGUAAAGGAAUGUCAUGUGUGCGAAAUGCGCAAAAUGAAA
rnacentral:misc_RNA from 1 species